AAAUUGAAGAGUUUGAUCAUGGCUCAGAUUGAACGCUGGCGGCAGGCCUAACACAUGCAAGUCGAACGGUAACAGGAAGCAGCUUGCUGCUUCGCUGACGAGUGGCGGACGGGUGAGUAAUGUCUGGGAAACUGCCUGAUGGAGGGGGAUAACUACUGGAAACGGUAGCUAAUACCGCAUAAUGUCGCAAGACCAAAGAGGGGGACCUUCGGGCCUCUUGCCAUCGGAUGUGCCCAGAUGGGAUUAGCUUGUUGGUGGGGUAACGGCUCACCAAGGCGACGAUCCCUAGCUGGUCUGAGAGGAUGACCAGC
rnacentral:rRNA from 1 species